rnacentral:rRNA from 1 species
AUGGGGAGGUAUGAGACAUUCAAUCAUCGACAUUCUUCUUUGCGUAAUGUUGUCGAAAGAUCGUUUGGUGUUCUCAAGAUGAAAUGGCGUAUUCUCCAAGGCAUAACACGAUACAAACCGGAGACCCAAAACAUGAUCACCACUGCAUGCAUGUGUCUUCACAACUACAUUCGUGAUAGCAAGUUACGUGAUGAGCAUUUUGACAAGUUUGACAAUGUUGCGUAUGUGCAUCCUCCACAGCCGUUUACAGGUGCCACCGCUUUACCGCCUGAAGAUGAUGGUACCAUGGCCGCUACAUGUGAGGCUAUUGUUGUCAGUCUUGUACCUUGA